GUCUCUGGGCUUGCCCUAGGGUUUCCGAACAGAAGCCCGCAGCUAGAGAUUCAAGCCCUGUACCUCCUCAUCAGUGUGCCAGGGCUGAAUGCCAGGAUGGGUGCCCAUCCCAGGGAAAAUGGCUUCAGUUUUAAACACCUGUCAUCUAAGCUCUUCCCCCUGCCCUCGUAAAAUCUGCCCGUUUGCUCUACAGACACCUCUUUUGUCAAAUCUUAAUUAGUGCCUGGGUGGCUGAGCCGUCCAUCCUCCAGAAAGUACCCCCCCCCACCCCAUCCCAUACCAGCCCCACCUUCCAUGUAUUUCCACAAUGACCAGUCAUCUUCACCGGUGUCCGGGAUUCCCCCAUGAUCAUGGAAUUUCACAGGAUUCAUGAUGUGCCAGAGCCCAGGGAAGACUUGAAACAAAUAGGAGGCAAGAACAGCUCCUUGAGGACCAACAUCACCAUCUCUUCUGCUUUGGAAAUGAACCAGAAGUAUUUAUCCCGUGGCCCUGGUUUCUCUGCCAACUCGAGGGCACACGUAGGGGCACGUUGAAAUGACCCAGGUCCUUCUGGAGUUCCCAAAUGUGGCUCGCGUGCAGUGGGCGGGGCCGGCUGAGACCCAGAGGCCACGGGAAUUGCUGCAGGAGGAGGUGCCAAGGGGCCGGGGUUGUUUCUGAGGUUGCUGUGCAGCAGCCUCAGCAUGCUCGAAGCUGGACGUUUCAUUCCUUCUUGGAAGACGAGGUCAUAAUUCAGUUGCAGUCAUCAUUUUCCAGUUCCUCUCUAAUAUUUAUGUGAAAACUCCUUUAGUUGGCUUCCUUGAUGCCUGUAAAUGUCAUCACCCUGGGGCGCCUGGGUGGCUCAGUCGGUUGAGCGUCCACCCUCGGCUCAGGUCACGAUCUCAUGGUUCAUGGGUUCGAGCCACGUGUCAGGCUCUGUGCUGACAGCUCGGAGUCUGGAGCCCGCUUUGGAUUCUGUGUCUCCCUCUCUAUGCCCCUCCCCCACUCAUGCUCUGUCUCUCUCUCUCUCUCUCUCUCAGAAAUAA